rnacentral:rRNA from 1 species
UACGGGGGGAGCAAGCGUUAUUCGGAAUCACUGGGCUUAAAGGGCGCGUAGGCGGGCCGUCAAGUCGAGGGUGAAAUCCCCCAGCUCAACUGGGGAAGUGCCUCCGAUACUGGCGGCCUCGAGGGGGAUAGGGGCAUGCGGAACUUCCGGUGGAGCGGUGAAAUGCGUAGAGUAUCGGAAGGAACACCGGUGGCGAAAGCGGCGUGCUGGAUCCCUUCUGACGCUGAGGCGCGAAAGCCAGGGGAGCGAACGGGAUAGAGUACCCGUA